rnacentral:hammerhead_ribozyme from 1 species
AUCCAGAUGGAGAGACCCGAAUAGGACGAAACGCGCGUCCUGGAU